rnacentral:rRNA from 1 species
AGGCAUGGACUCACCAAGGCUACGAUGGGUAGGGGUUCUUAGUGGAAGAUCCCCCACACUGGCACUGAGAUACGGGCCAGACUCCUACGGGAGGCAGCAGUAGGGAAUAUUGGUCAAUGGGCGAAAGCCUGAACCAGCCAUGCCGCGUGCAGGAUGACAGCUCUCUGAGUUGUAAACUGCUUUUGUACAGGAGCAAAACAAUCCCUGCGGGGGUUCUUGAGAGUACUGUAAGAAUAAGCACCGGCUAAUUCCGUGCCAGCAGCCGCGGUAAUACGGAAGGUGCAAGCGUUAUCCGGUUUUAUUGGGUUUAAAGGGUGCGUAGGCGGCUUAUUAAGUCAGUUGUGAAAUCCUAGUGCUUAACGCUAGAACUGCAAUUGAUACUAUUAGGCUUGAGUAAAGGAAUAGGUACA